rnacentral:lncRNA from 1 species
GGGCACCAGGUGCAGGGCCAACACCCUGGUGGCUGGAAAACCACAAGCAGCAGGCAGGGGUGGCUUUGCUUCUAGCUGCUCUGUGAGGAGGUUGGUGUGCUGCCCGGCCUGGGAUGACUGCACUCCCAAGACCGCAGGCUUCUCCUCGGGGAGCGCUUCAGCACUAAAUAAACCAGAUCCUGACUUCUUGAUCAUAGUUCGAUAUCUGAUGCCAUCACAUCUUCUGGGAAGGCAUACCCAAGUAUCGACAUGGUGAGAGACAGAUAAUUUCUCCUUCAUUUACAAAUGUAUUGACCUUUUAAAAUACGUGUAACUUAUAAUCUUUAAUUUUUUUUUAAUCGUGAAAUUAUAGGUCUCCAGGAAGUUGCAAAGGCUGUACAGGGAGGUCCAUGCACCGUUCACCCAUUUUCCCCUAUGGUUGCACCUUGCCUUACCCCAGAGCAACAGCAAACGGGCGACUGAGAUUGUGGACAUGUGGAUAUAGUUCCAUGUGAGCGUGUCACACAUGUGGCUUUCUGAAACCACCACCUCAAUCAAGACAUAGAACUACUGUCAUGACAAAGAUCACUCUUGUCCUAACUCUUCACCCCCGCACCAUACAAAACACAGUUUGCAUUUCUGUACCUGUAGGCACUCUUGUCCUAGCCCUUCCCUGCCCACCCCCGCACCACCAUCCCUGACUCCUGGCAACUGUUAGUACAUUCUCUGUCUCUAUACUUCCAGCAUUUCAAGAAUGUUGUAUAAAUAGAAUCAUACCGUAUGUGAAGCU